rnacentral:rRNA from 1 species
AGAGUUCGAUCCUGGCUCAGGAUGAACGCUGGCGGCGUGCCUAACACAUGCAAGUCGAACGGAGUCCAGCCUUUAAGACCUUCGGGUCAAAGAGGGGAAGACUGAGUGGCGGACGGGUGAGUAACACGUGGGCAACCUGGCUCAUAGAGGGGGAUAACAGAGAGAAAUUUCUGCUAAUACCGCAUAAGCACACACUGCCGCAUGGCAGAGGGUGAAAAGAGAAUCGCUAUGAGAUGGACCCGCGUCUGAUUAGCCAGUUGGCAGGGUAAGAGCCUACCAAAGCGACGAUCAGUAGCCGAUCUGAGAGGAUGAACGGCCACAUUGGGACUGAGACACGGCCCAAACUCCUACGGGAGGCAGCAGUGGGGAAUAUUGCACAAUGGGCGAAAGCCUGAUGCAGCGACGCCGCGUGAGUGAGGAAGUAUUUCGGUAUGUAAAGCUCUAUCAGCAGGGAAGAAAGAAAUGACGGUACCUGAGUAAGAAGCUCCGGCUAAAUACGUGCCAGCAGCCGCGGUAAUACGUAUGGAGCAAGCGUUAUCCGGAUUUACUGGGUGUAAAGGGAGCGUAGGCGGCAGAGCAAGUCUGAUGUGAAAGCCCGGGGCUCAACCCCGGUAGUGCAUUGGAAACUGUUCAGCUUGAGUGUCGGAGGGGUAAGCGGAAUUCCUGGUGUAGCGGUGAAAUGCGUAGAUAUCAGGAAGAACACCGGAGGCGAAGGCGGCUUACUGGACGAUUACUGACGCUGAGGCUCGAAAGCGUGGGGAGCGAACAGGAUUAGAUACCCUGGUAGUCCACGCCGUAAACGUUGGGCACUAGGUGUGGGGGGCCUUUUCCGGGUCUUCCGCGCCGUAGCUAACGCAUUAAGUGCCCCGCCUGGGGAGUACGGCCGCAAGGCUAAAACUCAAAGGAAUUGACGGGGGCCCGCACAAGCGGCGGAGCAUGCGGAUUAAUUCGAUGCAACGCGAAGAACCUUA